AAGUUGACCAAUGGGAGAGCAAGCUAAUUAUUUUUCUAGAACUUAAGAUGAAUGGUUGACAGUACAGAGAAUGUACCUCUACUUAGAGCCAAUAUUUAGUGCCCCAGAUAUUCAGAGGUAAUUUGUUCAUUUAUAUUUUAUGGGGGAGGAAACUUUUAGGAAGGGCUUUGCCUGGAGAUGCUAAGUUUUUCACUGCAGUGGACAAAUCUUGAAAGGAUAUGAUGAGGAGGGUGGAGGAUCGCCGGAACGCCCCGAAGGCGGCGACCACCACAGGAACCCUAGAAACACUGACCUCCAGUCCUGUAGACAGAAUCUAGAGAAAAUACAGAAAAGCUUAGAGGAGUAUUUAGAUUCCAGAAGAGUUGUCUUCCCCAGAUUUUACUUUCUUAGUACUGGUGACCUUUUGGAUAUCCUGGGUGCCCAGUCCAAAGAUCUCAAUGCUGUUCAGCCUCAUCUUGGAAAAUGUUUCAGCAACAUCAAAUAUCUAGAGAUUGGUCAGAAUCCACCUACCAUCAAAACCAUGAUCUCAUCUGAAGGAGAAAGAGUUGCCAUGCUUAAAAACAAAGGAGCCAGAGGUUCUGUUGAACAAUGGUUGGUUUAUGUGGAAAAUGGAAUGAUAGACAAUGUUAAAAA